GUUAUCAAGUUACAUUAUUGCUAAUCUGCUAUCAAAUUGGUCUAUCUUUUAGUAUAAAAAAUAAAAGGUGUACUAAUUAAUGGUUACUCUCAAGAACUGCUAAUCUUUCCAUGCCUCAUGUUGGUGUUCAAGCUAGACCUCCUAGUCUUGUGAAGCAGCAGCAACCUCCAAUUACAGGUUUGGUUUGAAUUUUGAUUCAGUUUUUAUUUUUGUUAUUAUCAUUUAUUGAUAUAAAUUAAAUUGGAUAAAUAUUGAUGUUUUGAUUUAUAUGUGCAACUACAUUCCUGAAGCACCCACAGACACCUCCAGGUGGUGGUCCUGGAUUGGAAUAUCAAAUGACUGAAUCGGAGCUGAGACAAAUUUGCAGAUUGCUUCAACACUUGAAGGAAGGACUACUACCCAGUACUCGAAUAGGUCAGUUACCAUUUUUUUAUAAAAUUGUAAAUGUGGUGCAAGGGUAGUUCUAAAUAUUUGCAUCUGGUUUCAGGGGUUACUCAAGGAAAAUGCAAAUGGUAGCAAAUACUGGGCAUAUGGAGGUGACUUUGGAGAUACACCAAAUGACUUAAAUUUCUGCUUAAAUGGUCGCAUAUGGCCUGAUCGGACUCCUCAUCCUGCUCUAAAUGAGGUCAAGUAUUGCUAUCAACCAAUUAAAAUUUCGUUCACCAAUGGCGUAAUUAAGAUUACAAACACCAAUUUCUUUCAAACAACAGAAGAUCUAGAGUUUAAUUGGGUGAUUGAAGGUGAUUUUGGUUCUAGAAACGAGACUCAAGAUAUCAUAUUUUGGCAUGGCUAGAAGCUUUGGAGGAAACGAGACUCAAGCAAAAGUAAAC